UACAGAGGGUGCGAGCGUUGUUCGGAAUUAUUGGGCGUAAAGAGCGUGUAGGCGGCCCGGUAAGUCCGCUGUGAAAUCCCAUGGCUCAACUGUGGGCUUGCAGCCGAUACGGGCGGGCUAGAGUUCGGUAGGGGGAGACUGGAAUUCCUGGUGUAGCGGUGGAAUGCGCAGAUAUCAGGAGGAACACCGGUGGCGAAGGCGGGUCUCUGGGCAGUAACUGACGCUGAGGAGCGAAAGCGUGGGGAGCGAACAGG
rnacentral:rRNA from 1 species